rnacentral:rRNA from 1 species
GUCCACGCCGUAAACGAUGUCGAUUUGGAGGCUGUGUCCUUGAGACGUGGCUUCCGGAGCUAACGCGUUAAAUCGACCGCCUGGGGAGUACGGCCGCAAGGUUAAAACUCAAAUGAAUUGACGGGGCCCGCACAAGCGGUGGAGCAUGUGGUUUAAUUCGAUGCAACGCGAAGAACCUUACCUGGCCUUGACAUGUCUGGAAUCCUGUAGAGAUACGGGAGUGCCUUCGGGAAUCAGAACACAGGUGCUGCAUGGCUGUCGU